rnacentral:rRNA from 1 species
GACGAACGCUGGCGGCGUGCUUAACACAUGCAAGUCGAACGGUAAGGCCCUUCGGGGUACCCGAGUGGCGAACGGGUGAGUAACACGUGGGUGAUCUGCCCUGCACUUCGGGAUAAGCCUGGGAAAUUGGGUCUAAUACCGGAUAGGACCACUGCAUGCAUGGGUGGGGGGGGAAAGCUUGUGCGGUGUGGGAUGGGCCCGCGGCCUAUCAGCUUGUUGGUGGGGUGAUGGCCUACCAAGGCGACGACGGGUAGCCGGCCUGAGAGGGUGACCGGCCACACUGGGACUGAGAUACGGCCCAGACUCCUACGGGAGGCAGCAGUGGGGAAUAUUGCACAAUGGGCGCAAGCCUGAUGCAGCGACGCCGCGUGAGGGAUGACGGCCUUCGGGUUGUAAACCUCUUUCAGCACCGACGAAGCGCAAGUGACGGUAGGUGCAGAAGAAGGACCGGCCAACUACGUGCCAGCCGCCGCCGUAA